CAAGUCGAACGAUUACUAACAGGUAGCAAUAUUUGUUAGUGAGAGUGGCGCAAGGGUGCGUAACACGUGGGUAAUUUGCCGUAAAGUCUGGAAUAACUUGCUGAAAGGCGAGCUAAUACCGGAUGUGAUUGCUGGGGGGCAUCCUCUGGCACUUAAAGUUGGGGACCGUAAGGCCUGACACUUUUCGAUAAGCCCGCGGCCUAUCAGCUAGUUGGUGAGGUAACGGCUCACCAAGGCUAAGACGGGUAGCUGGUCUGAGAGGACGACCAGCCACACUGGAACUGAGACACGGUCCAGACACCUACGGGUGGCAGCAGUCGAGAAUUUUUCUCAAUGGGGGAAACCCUGAAGGAGCGACGCCGCGUGGGGGAUGAAUGGCUUCGGCCCGUAAACCCCUGUCAUUUGCGAUCAAACCUUACGAUCUAAUAAGUCGUGAGCUGAUAGUAGCGAAAGAGGAAGGGACGGCUAACUCUGUGCCAGCAGCCGCGGUAAUACGAAGGGUGCUAGCGUUGUUCGGAAUCACUGGGCGUAAAGCGCGCGUAGGCGGCGAACCAAGUCAGAGGUGAAAUCCCACAGCUUAACUGUGGAACUGCCUUUGAAACUGGUUUGCUAGAGUGUCGGAGGGGAUGGCGGAAUUCCUAAUGUAGAGGUGAAAUUCGUAGAUAUUAGGAGGAACACCGGUGGCGAAGGCGGCCAUCUGGACGACAACUGACGCUGAGGCGCGAAAGCGUGGGGAUCAAACAGGAUUAGAUACCCUGGUAGUCCACGCUGUAAACGAUGGGUGCUAGCUGUUCGGGGGUUACCCCUGAGUGGCGCAGCUAACGCGUUAAGCACCCCGCCUGGGGAGUACGGUCGCAAGAUUAAAACUCAAAGAAAUUGACGGGGACCCGCACAAGCGGUGGAACAUGUGGUUUAAUUCGAGGCAACGCGAAGAACCUUACCAGGGUUUGACAUGCUCUUCAUAGGAUCCCCAAAAGGAUCCGUCAGUUCGGCUGGAAGAUGCACAGGUGCUGCAUGGCUGUCGUCAGCUCGCGUCGUGAGAUGUUGGGUUAAGUCCCGCAACGAGCGCAACCCUCAUCCUUUGUUGCUAACAGGUAAUGCUGAGAACUCUAAGGAAACUGCCGGUGAUAAGCCGGAGGAAGGUGGGGAUGACGUCAAGUCCUCAUGGCCCUUACACCCUGGGCUACACACGUGUUACAAUGGCGAUGACAAUGGGCAGCUAACCCGCGAGGGCAAGCGAAUCCCCAAAAGUCGCCUCAGUUUGGAUUGUACUCUGCAACUCGAGUACAUGAAAUUGGAGUCGCUAGUAAUCGUAGAUCAGCACGCUACGGUGAAUACGUUCCCGGGUCUUGUACACACCGCCCGUCACACCAUGGGAGUUGGUUCUACCUUAAGUCGCCGCGCUAACCGCAAGGAAGCAAGCGCCCACGGUAGGGUCAGUGACUGGGGUGA
rnacentral:rRNA from 1 species